ensembl:lncRNA
GAGGAAACAAGGAUAUGAUCUUAGCUGUCUUAAUCCUUUCCAAAAAAGCAAAGAUAUCUUGUUAGAAAAGUCUAAUCUAUUUUUCCUAAUGGAAAAAUCAAGUGAGAUGCUUGUUAAGACGUUUGAUAACUAGACUUCUCCUUUAAUACUUUUUUAUCCUUGGUGAUAAUUUGCUAAAACUCUUCUGAAGACAAAAGUAACCUCUGAACACAUCAAAGACUUUCAGGCUGCAGUCUUGUCGGUUCCAGGUGUACUUUUUUGUGGGCUGUACAAAUUAGAGAGACUCUUGCGUACUAAUAGACUGCCUUUCAUCAAGUAGAUAAUAGCACUUUAUUAUUGAGCACACUUUAUUGCAGGAGUCAGAGACAGCAUUUCUAUUGAGCUUGCUUUAGAUUUCAGUAAGAGAGUAAGGAAGAAAUGCAUAGCCACAUCUUUCCCUGCAUGAUCAAGCAAGGUACUAUGUAUGUAAGUUUUUAAAGAUGAGAAGAUGAUGGAUUUAGGUGCUUUGGAGGGGGAGGGAAGAAAGGAGAGGUCACUUCAGAACUGUGAUCCUGAGCAACAGAGUCGAUUGCAUGGGGCUGUGCAUUACAGGUUGUCUUGUAGGUGCUGUAGUAAAACUCUAGACUCAAAUGCAGGCUGGGUGGGAUUAAAAACUUCAUGAUUGUGCUAGCAGGCUUGGAUGUAUCUUCAGGAUUUUGCUGCCUUGGGGAUCAUACUCAAAAGUCGUGAAGAGCUAGAGGCUGCAUUUUUCUCAAUAGACUUACUUUUCUUGUUCAGUUGACACUGGUGGCAGCUACAGAAAAACAAUACAUUAAAUGUAACUAUUUGAUCUUAAGGCCUGCUAAGUAAUUCUACUGAGCAAUUUCUAUCUUGGAGGUUGUGCUUGGCAUAGAACUGAUCUUCACAGAAAACACUGGUGUACUUUAUGGAGCUGAAACAUGAGAGCUGCUGGUAAAAAUGCUCCCUCUUCCCUCAGGAGACAAAGAACCGGUCAUCUGUCUCCAGGUUGAGUUUUCUGGCUCAACUCACUCCUAAUUGCUCUUUGAACAGUUCUUCACCACUGUCUUGUCCCUCAGACAUUUAGCUCUGAUGCAAGUCUGCCUGGUGGGUCUCACGUUCACGUCAUAGCAUUAAGUUCAGCUUCACAGCAUCCUUUCUUACCUGAGGCGAGCAGUUUGUUUAGGUGGGGCAAGCCAAACUUCAUCAACUGCCACCUCCAAAGGUUGAUGUUAAGACUUAAUUCUUGGGCAGAUAAACAGUCAUUAGCUCAACAAGUCUGAAGAAAUUACUUCAGCACAGCUGGAUGGAGCGGACUGGAUAUGGUACCAAUACUUCCCUUUUAUUUUUCCUCCUGCAGGCUCGGGUGGUUUGUUGGCUUUUGUUUUACAGAUUUUUGCAGAAAGAGAUUUGCACAAGUGCUUGUUUCCUCUUACAGAAUAGAGAGCACGAAAGAGUAGCAUAUGCUUCCUGCAGAGUUCAUGCUUAAGUGACAAGGGGAGAAAAAGUUGUGUGUUUGUUACAGAGGAAAAUGGAAAUGGGCGAAAAAGGCAGCAUAGAUCCAAAAGGCUUGUUGGUAACCUCCUGGCAACUAGUGCAGAGUUCCACGUCUUGUUCCAUGUCUUGUCCUAAAGUCCUCAGGUUCGGUCUGUAUGUGACAUUAUGUCUCGGCUUUGUGACCUCACCAAGUAAUUUGUGUUGGUGCUGAAAGACAACAUACCCUAUUUUUCUGAGUCGAAGGGCAUUGUGGUGUAUGGUACUUCUUUUUUUUUCCUCUCCUCCUUGCGUCUUCAGAAAAAGGAGCUGGUAGGAUAGUUCAGUAAUGCCAGAGGAAGAUCUUCAUGCUGGCUUCUUGUGGUUUUCUUGUGUGCUGAGUCUGUCUGUCCUUAGAAAUCAGACAUGUAAGGAGAGAUUUUUGGGGUAAGAAUUCUCUAUAGCCUAAUGUUCAGGCUGCAAUAAAGGCUACUAACGUUGUAGCAAAAACUUUUAUUUGAUGAAACUGCAGCUCACAAGUAACAGCCCGUUGGCUUAACACUGAUUUGAAAAUUGAGGCAGAAAUGGCUGUUUCUUGAAAAUGUUGAAUUGAGCAGUGGUUUUACUGCAAGACAGAACCUAGAUUUAAUUUGAUCUGACUUGGAUAGGUAACAAUAUCAAAUGAACAAUACCCUCUUUGUUGAUAGAGAGGGAAUGACUAGCUUUAUUUUGCUUUGUGGUGCGACAUACCUGACAUGAAGAUGCAGGCUGCAAGGUAACCUUUUCUGAAUGUUGCUCCAAAUCUUUAAUUAGCUCUGGAUGUAAUAUUUUAGAAGUUUGGAGACCAAAUUAACAGCUGCUUCAUUAUAAAUCAAACCUAUGCUUGAGUAGCAUGUGAAAAUAUUCUGAAGAUUUUCAGGCUACAGUGCAGGCUCUUCAUCUUACUUCUGCUUUACUUUUGCUGCCUUCAAGUAGCAUGCUGUAUUGUGCUAGACAUACCUAGCA